rnacentral:lncRNA from 1 species
AGACCCGGGCUUGGGCCCCGCGGCGCUGCGCCUCCAACCCGGAAGAACAGCCCCAACUCCGCGGCGGCGGGCGGCCACGUGACUGCAGCUCCGCUCCCACCUCGGCCCGCGCCCCUUCCCCGCCCCAGCUUUCUUCCCGCCAGGCCCCCUCCACCCGAUCGCCGCGCGCUCUCCGAACCAAAAGGCGACCUCACGAAAUGCCCCUUUGAGCUCAAAGGCUAGUUACCCCCAGGGGCCCUUCCACUCUCGGGGACAGGCGAAACCUCUUUGUCUCUGCCUCGGCCUGCGGCCCCCAGCCCAGCCUCCGCGCUUUCCCUCCGCCAGUCCUUGUCAAUCAAACCUGGUGCCAAACGCGGCAGCUGAAGUUUUCAGGGACACAUUUGCUUCUCCCCUUGAAGAACCAGUUACAAAGCGUGAUGUCCUCUCUGGGGUCCCAUCAGAACAAAGAAACAGGUCUAAAGACCCUCAUUCCAGAGAGCAUCCUGCCCCAUAUCCAGAAUGAAAUCCAUGCUCAGAGAUGCCAAGAAGAAUCUAGACAGACAGGCCUUUCUAGGAAGUGAGGAGCGUCUCUGCCCGGCCGCCCAUUGUCUGAGAUGUGGGGAGAGCCUCUGCCCCGCCGCCCCGCCUGGGAUGUGAGGAGCGCCUCUACCCGGCCGCGACCCUGUCUGGGAGGUGAGGAGCGUCUCUGCCCGGCCGCCCCGUCUGAGAAGUGAGGAGACCCUCCGCCUGGCAACCGCCCGUCUGAGAAGUGAGGAGCCCCUCCGCCCGGCAGUCACCCCGUCUGGGAAGUGAGGAGCGUCUCCGCCCAGCAGCCACCCCGUCCGGGAGGGAGGUGGGGGUCAGCCCCCGCCAGGCCAGCUGCCCCGUCCGGGAGGGAGGUGGGGGGGUCAGCCCCCCGCCCGGCCAGCCGCCCCGUCCGGGAGGUGAGGGGCGCCUCUGCCCAGCCGCCCCUACUGGGAAGUGAGGAGCCCCUCUGCCCGGCCACCACCCCGUCUGGGAGGUGUACCCAACAGCUCAUUGAGAACGGGCCAUGAUGACAAUGGCGGUUUUGUGGAAUAGAAAGGGGGGAAAGGUGAGGAAAAGAUUGAGAAAUCGGAUGGUUGCUGUGUCUGCGUAGAAAGAGGUAGACAUGGGAGACUUUUCAUUUUGUUCUGUACUAAGAAAAAUUCUUAUCCUGUUGAUCUGUGACCUUACCCCCAACCCUGUGCUCUCUGAAUCAUGUGCUGUGUCCACUCAGGGUUAAAUGGAUUAAGGGCGGUGCAAGAUGUGCUUUGUUAAACAGAUGCUUGAAGGCAGCAUGCUCGUUAAGAGUCAUCACCACUCCCUAAUCUCAAGUACCCAGGGACACAAACACUGCGGAAGGCCGCAGGGUCCUCUGCCUAGGAAAACCAGAGACCUUUGUUCACUUGUUUAUCUGCUGACCUUCCCUCCACUAUUGUCCUAUGACCCUGCCAAAUCCCCCUCUGCGAGAAACACCCAAGAAUAAUCAAU